AGCAUCUAAUUAUGCUUCUCAAAGUCUUUAAUCAUGUGAUGCAUCCUUGAAUUCAGGUUGUUCUCCACCAUUGAGUAUCAUACUAAACUUAGUACAAUUUUAUACUAAACUUGGUACAAAGUUGAGACAUUUAUUUUGAGACGGAGGGAGUACAUGAUACAUCAAUGUGUUAGGUAUAAAUUGCCUGCACUAAAACAUGUACGACAACCAAACUGCCACAUUCAUUCAGUACAACUCAUCCUGCUUCAGCAUCGAAGUUUUGAGGGGCCAUGAGAGCAGAGGUAGCCAAGUCGUCGUCACAUUAAGGCAGAGUGAGGACAUAAUUAGCUCAUUAGCGUUUAAGUGUUGGUUCGAUAUACAACCUUUGAUCUGUGUGGUUUGUUAUAGAUCUAAUGACCCAUGAAGAAAGUUUUCACUGGAUACUUUCUCUACGCAAGUUUUUAUCUAAUUGUUGCAUUUCUCAUAGUGUUAUAGGGGUAUUUUGUAACCUAGAGCAAUCAGACACACUUUCUAUCCGAAAAUGAAAUCUGAACAUCUAUUGUAGUGAAGUUAAACAAUGCAUGUAGCUUAGUUUUAAUAUGUUAACUAAUGUACCUACUUACAGUGAUCUUUUAACUCAAUGAGAAUUACAGAAAUUUGCUUGGCGAACUCCUCGUGUCACUUGGCAUCAAAGAGCCAAAGCUGCUUGAAAAGCAACUUGAUUCGUCCUCAAGGUACAUAAGAUCCACAAGACUAAUUGAUUUCUUUCCGUACAAUCAUGAUUCAGAAGAAAGGAGCACUAGCUCUUUUAUUAUCUAUAGAAAACGGUACCAAUUGUUACUUUGUCCUGCCUAUUUCUACUUUGUUAAUCAUAGGCAAUAUUAUGCUGUUAGAUGCAGGGUUCCAUGAUCACUUUUGACCAGUGUUGUAGGUAGAUUACACCUAUUUUUGUCUUGGUUUGUUUUUAAGUAAAAUUGAGCAAGGUGUGUGCCCUGUUCAAACAAUAAACAAAACAGAGUCUCCUCAUGCUGCAAAUAUAGCUUAGUUUUUUUUCAAUGGACAAAACACAUCUCAGGUAAGUGAGCUGCUUUGUACACUACAUCUCUAUUGAACUAUAUGCAGUUUUUAGCUUGAUGUCUUUGAUUUAACGUCAUUAUUCUAGGACUGGAAAUUUUUGCAUUAGAUAUAUUGAUUCCGUAAUGCAAUUAAUCCAUCGUAAAAGCUAGGGAUAAUUUGGCUGUGUCGUCCUCGAUAUGUUACGACACAAAAUGUUGAUCAUUUUCACGAUUGCAGACACAACAGAUGCUUCUUCAUCUCACUGGUCUCUAGAGGAAGGAAGAGAUCUUGUCUGAAGCAAAUGAGUGCCUUAGAAGAAAAGAAAAUGAGGAGUUCAAUUGUUUCCCCAAAUUUCCUUCCACGAUUUUGUAACCCUUUGCAGAAUCGCAUGGGGAGGUUCGCAACAUUGUCUACUCAGGAAAUGAGUAUCUAUUGUCUAUCAUGUGACUAUUGAACUGAUGCAGAGUACCCUUCUUUGCAUGGGAGUUAUAUGUGGUUUAGUUUGCAGAAUCUUGUUUGGUUUUACAUUGAUCUUACUGCAUGCUCAGUUUUUGGGCGUAUAACCAGUUUAUAGGUCCUACUAUUUGAUCUGUGGACGUGACCAAUGAGGGCAUGGAGAUUAUGGCGAGGCAUGGUGAUGCGGUGGCAGUGGUGAAGGUAACCACAUCGAAGGCAGCGGCAAUGGGUGGCUGUCGAUGAAAGCAGCAUGUGGAUGGGGGAGGUGGAGAGGCGAGGGAUGGAGGCGGAGGACGGCAACCAGGGAGACGGAGUGGCAGUGAGAGUGGACGAGCUCGCCUGCGGAGUGCGUGGGCAGGAUUUCCUUUCCGGGUUGGACGAGGGCUUCUUUGUUUGUGUGUGUGUGCAUGUAAGUUGAUGCUCCAUCUUGUUAUUCAUUUCCUGGGAUAAUUUCUCGAGGAAUGUACGGAUUUCUCAAAGUGACGCAAUGCUAUGAUCUUCAACCAUGAAAACGAAACUGUUAGCGCUGAUGGCCUGCUCCUGCGAUCUCAUAGCAUUGUGUCAAGGAGCAGGUGGAGAGGGAGAAAGAGAAAGGGAGAAUGGAAGCCAAGUGAUAGACAAAGAGAGUGAAAGCUUCUGUUGAAUUCUCAUGGUUGGAGAUACUGCAAGAAUUCUGAUUCGGCACGGCCCUCAUGGAGACAAUGGAGAUGGUGUUCAGCGGUGCGCUCAGCCAGAGUUCGCCUUUCCUGCAAAACGUCCGACAUUUGCUGAUUCGGCAGGGCCCUCAUGGAAACAAAUUCAGGGCGCAGAGAAACUAAUGGAGCAACCAGGAGUCCAAUCAUUUGAAGGCAGAACAUUGAACAUAUCAGUGAUCGGACACUCGAGACAACUCUUAAUGAGUUCUAGCAACCGAAGACAGAAUAUUUGCGUAGGAUGCAACAAAGCUGCAUGUCAUGAGAUUAUUGAAUGCGUUGAGUAAUUUGGAAUGGAAACAUUUUUGGUUAAAUAGGAUGCUCUUGAGAUUAUUUCUCAUGCCAACAUGGCAUGCCCGAGCGAAAAAUGUGCCACCCUUUGACAGGACCAUGCCUUGUUAACGGAGGUUUCUGGUUGGUUAAAUGAGAAGGCCAUGAUGCCUAUUUGGGCUAAGAUGACUCCUAACAUUGUAGGUAUUACAGAUGGAACUUAAGCUUCCAUAAUGCAUUUGUUGAGUAAUUAGCAGUCACAUAUCUUCUGUGUUUUUAAUUG